rnacentral:lncRNA from 1 species
GGUGUUGGCGUUCAUGCUUGACCUCUAGGCUGCCCUGCUCGUGUAUAAAACUGAGGCCACAGCGGGAGGAGGCAUCAGUCGCAGCACAACACUCAGCCAGCAGCUAUGAAGGUCGUCGCUCUCCUGCUUGUGGUCUGCGCCUCCGUGGCCUGGGCGAAGCCUCUCUGCAUUGGAGGCAUCUGCAUUCCUAACAGUCAGGCCACUGGAGGGGCUGCGGGCACCGUCACCAGUGGCACCAGCAAUACACCUGGUGGCACCAGCAAGAUUACGUCCGUCGGCUCCUCUGCAGGGGGAUCCGCCAGCGGGCCGUGUGCGAGCAGCACCAACCUCGCACAUGCCUCCAACAAGAACAAACAGGGACUGCUGGGCAAUGCGGAAUCAAGCGACACCGGAGCCGUCUCGAACCAGAACACCGGCUGCUAAAUGACUCAGUCGCAGUCAUCUCGGCAUGCGUCGCAGUGGCAGAUGUGAAACGCUUGUUACGUCGACAGACGUUGUGAUAUCGGGCGUCGGUUGUGAUAUGGGAUCGAAAUGUGCAAUACAGGCUUACCCCCGACGUGAUUGA